UACAGAGGUGGCAAGCGUUGUUCGGAAUUACUGGGCGUAAAGGGCGCGUAGGCGGUUCGAUAAGUCCCGUGUGAAAUCCCUCGGCUCAACUGAGGAACUGCACGGGAAACUGACGGGCUUGAGUCCGGAAGAGGAGAACGGAAUUCCCAGUGUAGCGGUGAAAUGCGCAGAUAUUGGGAAGAACACCAGUGGCGAAGGCGGUUCUCUGGGACGGUACUGACGCUGAGACGCGAAAGCGUGGGGAGCGAACAGG
rnacentral:rRNA from 1 species